GACGAACGCUGGCGGCGUGCUUAACACAUGCAAGUCGAACGGAAAGGCCCUGCUUUUGUGGGGUGCUCGAGUGGCGAACUGGUGAGUAACACGUGAGUAACCUGCCCUUGACUUUGGGAUAACUUCAGGAAACUGGGGCUAAUACCGGAUAGGAUCUCCUGCUGCAUGGUGGGGGUUGGAAAGUUUCGGCGGUUGGGGAUGGACUCGCGGCUUAUCAGCUUGUUGGUGGGGUAGUGGCUUACCAAGGCUUUGACGGGUAGCCGGCCUGAGAGGGUCCCCGGACACAUUGGGACUGAGAUACGGCCCAGACUCCUACGGGAGGCAGCAGUGGGGAAUAUUGCACAAGGGGCGGAAGCCUGAUGCAGCAAAGCAGCGUGCGGGAUGACGGCCUUCGGGUUGUAAACCGCUGUCGCCUGUGACGAAGCGUGAGUGACGGUAAUGGGUAAAGAAGCACCGGCUAACUACGUG
rnacentral:rRNA from 1 species